CCUAACGGGGCGCACCAGUGGGGAAUAUUGCACAAUGGGCGCAAGCCUGAUGCAGCCAUGCCGCGUGUAUGAAGAAGGCCUUCGGGUUGUAAAGUACUUUCAGUGGGGAGGAAGGCGAUAAGGUUAAUAACCUUGUCGAUUGACGUUACCCGCAGAAGAAGCACCGGCUAACUCCGUGCCAGCAGCCGCGGUAAUACGGAGGGUGCAAGCGUUAAUCGGAAUUACUGGGCGUAAAGCGCACGCAGGCGGUCUGUCAAGUCGGAUGUGAAAUCCCCGGGCUCAACCUGGGAACUGCAUUCGAAACUGGCAGGCUAGAGUCUUGUAGAGGGGGGUAGAAUUCCAGGUGUAGCGGUGAAAUGCGUAGAGAUCUGGAGGAAUACCGGUGGCGAAGGCGGCCCCCUGGACAAAGACUGACGCUCAGGUGCGAAAGCGUGGGGAGCAAACAGGAUUAGAUACCCGGGUAGUC
rnacentral:rRNA from 1 species